CAAUAGCGUAUAUUAAAGUUGUUGCAGUUAAAAAGCUCGUAGUUGGAUUUGUGGCGUACGGUGUGUUCCGGGCACUUGUUGUCUGAGUAACCUGCUGUUGCCAUCCUUGGGUGGAACCUGUGUGGCAUUAGGUUGUCGUGCAGGGGAUGCCCAUCAUUUACUGUGAAAAAAUUAGAGUGUUCAAAGCAGGUUUAUGCCGUUGAAUAUAUUAGCAUGGAAUAAUGAGAUAGGACUUUUUUGCUAUUUUGUUGGUUUGCGCAAAGAGGUAAUGAUUAAUAGGGACAGUUGGGGGUAUUCGUAUUCCAUUGUCAGAGGUGAAAUUCUUGGAUUUUUGGAAGACGAACUACUGCGAAAGCAUUUACCAAGGAUGUUUUCAUUAA
rnacentral:rRNA from 1 species